rnacentral:rRNA from 1 species
AGGGCACCACCAGGAGUGGAGCCUGCGGCUUAAUUUGACUCAACACGGGGAAACUCACCCGGCCCGGACACCGUAAGGAUUGACAGAUUGAUAGCUUUUUCAUGAUUCGGUGGAUGGUGGUGCAUGGCCGUUCUUAGUUCGUGGAGCGAUUUGUCUGGUUUAUUCCGAUAACGAGCGAGACUCUAGCCUACUAAAUAGUUCGCACAUUGUCUCUGUGUGUGUGACUUCUUAGAGGGAUUUUCGGUGCUCAGCCGCACGAAAUUGAGCAAUAACAGGUCUGUGAUGCCCUUAGAUGUCCGGGGCUGCACGCGCGCUACACUGGCAAAAUCAGCGUGCUUGUCCUUCCCCGAAAGGGGUUGGUAAACCCUUGAAAAUUUGCCGUGAUUGGGAUAGGAAAUUGCAAUUAUUUUCCAUGAACGAGGAAUUCCAAGUAAGUGCGAGUCAUCAGCUCGCGUUGAUUACGUCCCUGCCCUUUGUACACACCGCCCGUCGCUGCCCGGGACUGAGCCAUUUCGAGAA